rnacentral:rRNA from 1 species
UCGGGAAUUUUGGGCAAUGGGCGAAACCCUGACCCAGCAACGCCGCGUGAAGGAUGAAGUAUUUCGGUAUGUAAACUUCGAAAGAAUAGGAAGAAUAAAUGACGGUACUAUUUAUAAGGUCCGGCUAACUACGUGCCAGCAGCCGCGGUAAUACGUAGGGACCAAGCGUUGUUCGGAUUUACUGGGCGUAAAGGGCGCGUAGGCGGCAUGACAAGUCACUUGUGAAAUCUCUGGGCUUAACCCAGAACGGCCAAGUGAUACUGUCGCGCUAGAGUGCAGAAGGGGCAAUCGGAAUUCUUGGUGUAGCGGUGAAAUGCGUAGAUAUCAAGAGGAACACCUGAGGUGAAGACGGGUUGCUGGGCUGACACUGACGCUGAGGCGCGAAA